GAUGAACGCUAGCGGCAGGCCUAACACAUGCAUGUCGGGGGGCAGCACAGAAACAGCAAUGUUUUGGUGGCGACCGGCGGACGGGUGCGUAACGCGUAUGCAACCUACCUUUAACAGGGGGAUAACGGAGAGAAAUUUCCACUAAUACCCCAUAACAUCGAUCAAGGCAUCUUGAUUGGUUGAAAACUCCGGUGGUUAAAGAUGGGCAUGCGUUGUAUUAGGUAGUUGGUGAGGUAAUGGCUCACCAAGCCUACGAUACAUAGGGGGACUGAGGGGUUAGCCCCCCACACUGGUACUGAGACACGGACCAGACUCCUACGGGAGGCAGCAGUGAGGAAUAUUGGUCAAUGGGGGCAACCCUGAACCAGCCAUGCCGCGUGCAGGAAGACGGCUCUAUGAGUUGUAAACUGCUUUUAAACAGGGAUAAAGCACAGUAUGUAUACUGUGUUGAAGGUACUGUAAGAAUAAGGAUCGGCUAACUCCGUGCCAGCAGCCGCCGUAA
rnacentral:rRNA from 1 species